AUACGGAGGGUGCAAGCGUUGUCCGGAUUUAUUGGGCGUAAAGAGCAUGUAGGCGGACUGUUAAGUCUGGUGUGAAAGCCCGGGGCUCAACCCCGGAAGUGCAUUGGAUACUGGCAGUCUCGAGUAUGGGAGAGGAAAGUGGAAUUCCGAGUGUAGGAGUGAAAUCCGUAGAUAUUCGGAGGAACACCAGUGGCGAAGGCGGCUUUCUGGACCAAUACUGACGCUGAGAUGCGAAAGCGUGGGGAGCGAACAGGAUUAGAAACCCUAGUAGUCC
rnacentral:rRNA from 1 species